GACGAACGCUGGCGGCGCGCCUAACACAUGCAAGUCGAACGGAGUCAAGAGGAGCUUGCUUUUCUUGACUUAGUGGCGAACGGGUGAGUAACGCGUGAGUAACCUGCCCUGGAGUGGGGGACAACAGUUGGAAACGACUGCUAAUACCGCAUAAGCCCACGGAUCUGCAUGGAUCUGCGGGAAAAGGAUUUAUUCGCUCUAGGAUGGACUCGCGUCCAAUUAGCUAGUUGGUGAGGUAACGGCCCACCAAGGCGACGAUUGGUAGCCGGACUGAGAGGUUGAACGGCCACAUUGGGACUGAGACACGGCCCAGACUCCUAUGGGAGGCAGCAGUGGGGGAUAUUGCACAAUGGGGGAAACCCUGAUGCAGCGACGCCGCGUGGAGGAAGAAGGUUUUCGGAUUGUAAACUCCUGUCGUUAGGGACGAUAAUGACGGUACCUAACAAGAAAGCACCAGCUAACUACGUG
rnacentral:rRNA from 1 species